rnacentral:rRNA from 1 species
AUUGAACGCUGGCGGAAUGCUUUACACAUGCAAGUCGAACGGCAGCACGGGGGCAGCCCUGGUGGCGAGUGGCAAACGGGUGAGUAAUACAUCGGAACGUGCCCGGUCGUGGGGGAUAACGUAGCGAAAGUUACGCUAAUACCGCAUACGAUCUGAGGAUGAAAGCGGGGGACCUUCGGGCCUCGCGCGAUCGGAGCGGCCGAUGUCAGAUUAGGUAGUUGGUGGGGUAAAGGCCUACCAAGCCGGCGAUCUGUAGCUGGUCUGAGAGGACGACCAGCCACACUGGGACUGAGACACGGCCCAGACUCCUACGGGAGGCAGCAGUGGGGAAUUUUGGACAAUGGGCGCAAGCCUGAUCCAGCCAUUCCGCGUGCAGGACGAAGGCCUUCGGGUUGUAAACUGCUUUUGUACGGAACGAAAAGGCUCUGGCUAAUACCUGGGGCUCAUGACGGUACCGUAAGAAUAAGCACCGGCUAACUACGUG